CGAUGCAGCGUUUCGGGGUGGAUUAGUGGCGAACGGGUGAGUAACACGUGGGCAAUCUGCCCUUCACUCUGGGACAAGCCCUGGAAACGGGGUCUAAUACCGGAUAACACUCUGUCCCGCAUGGGACGGGGUUAAAAGCUCCGGCGGUGAAGGAUGAGCCCGCGGCCUAUCAGCUUGUUGGUGGGGUAAUGGCCUACCAAGGCGACGACGGGUAGCCGGCCUGAGAGGGCGACCGGCCACACUGGGACUGAGACACGGCCCAGACUCCUACGGGAGGCAGCAGUGGGGAAUAUUGCACAAUGGGCGAAAGCCUGAUGCAGCGACGCCGCGUGAGGGAUGACGGCCUUCGGGUUGUAAACCUCUUUCAGCAGGGAAGAAGCGAGAGUGACGGUACCUGCAGAAGAAGCGCCGGCUAACUACGUGCCAGCAGCCGCGGUAAUACGUAGGGCGCAAGCGUUGUCCGGAAUUAUUGGGCGUAAAGAGCUCGUAGGCGGCUUGUCACGUCGGAUGUGAAAGCCCGGGGCUUAACCCCGGGGUCUGCAUUCGAUACGGGCUAGCUAGAGUGUGGUGGGGGAGAUCAGAAUUC
rnacentral:rRNA from 1 species